rnacentral:rRNA from 1 species
CGCGCAGGCGGUUUUGUAAGUCAGAUGUGAAAUCCCGGGGCUCAACCCCGGAAGUGCAUUUGAAACUAUAAGGCUUGAGUAUGGGAGAGGGAAGUGGAAUUCCUGGUGUAGAGGUGAAAUUCGUAGAUAUCAGGAGGAACACCGGUGGCGAAGGCGACUUCCUGGACCAAUACUGACGCUGAGGCGCGAAGGCGUGGGGAGCAAACA